rnacentral:snRNA from 1 species
AACCCGUAAGGCGCAAGGA